GACGAACGCUGGCGGCGCGCCUAACACAUGCAAGUCGAACGGAGUCAAGAGGAGCUUGCUUUUCUUGACUUAGUGGCGAACGGGUGAGUAACGCGUGAGUAACCUGCCCUGGAGUGGGGGACAACAGUUGGAAACGACUGCUAAUACCGCAUAAGCCCACGGAUCUGCAUGGAUCUGCGGGAAAAGGAUUUAUUCGCUCUAGGAUGGACUCGCGUCCAAUUAGCUAGUUGGUGAGGUAACGGCCCACCAAGGCGACGAUUGGUAGCCGGACUGAGAGGUUGAACGGCCACAUUGGGACUGAGACACGGCCCAGACUCCUACGGGAGGCAGCAGUGGGGGAUAUCGCACAAUGGGGGAAACCCUGAUGCAGCGACGCCGCGUGGAGGAAGAAGGUUUUCGGAUUGUAAACUCCUGUCGUUAGGGACGAUAAUGACGGUACCUAACAAGAAAGCACCGGCUAACUACGUG
rnacentral:rRNA from 1 species